rnacentral:rRNA from 1 species
CCUACGGGAGGCAGCAGUGAGGAAUAUUGGUCAAUGGGAGAGAUCCUGAACCAGCCAAGCCGCGUGAGGGAAGACGGCCCUAUGGGUGGUAAACCUCUUUUGUCGGAGAACAAAACCCGGGACGAGUCCCGGACUGCGUGUAUCCGAAGACAAAGCAUAGGCUAACUCCGUGCCAGCAGCCGCGGUAAUACGGAAGGCCCGAGGGUUAUCCGGAUUCAUUGGGCUUAAAGGGAGCGUAGGCGGGCGUUCAAGUCAGCUGUAAAAUCGAGCGGCUCAACCGCGCACCGCAGUUGAAACUGGACGACUUGAGUGCACAACAGGCAGGCGGAAUUCGUGGUGUAGCGGUGAAAUGCAUAGAUAUCACGAGGAACCCCGAUUGCGAAGGCAGGCUGCCGGGGUGCGACUGACGCUGAGGCUCGAAGGUGCGGGUAUCAAACAGGAUUAGAUACCCGUGUAGUC